rnacentral:snoRNA from 1 species
ACUUCCCAGUUCCCUGACCCGUGAGCUCUAAGCACUGGUCUGAGUGGUAAUAAAAGGAGAAAAAUCCAAUUGAGACUGACUGGGAUUCUCUUGUGACAUACAAGCUCAUUUCAAACAGAC